GCCGCAGUAUUUUAACUGUGCAAAGGUAGCAUAAUCAUUUGUCUUUUAAUUGAGGACUAGUAUGAAUGAUUGGAUGAGAAAUAUUCUUUUUUUAUUUUAUUUUAAAUAAUUUUCUUUUUUAGUUAAAAAGCUAAAAUGUGUUUAUUAGACGAGAAGACCCUAUAGAACUUUAUUUAUUUAUAUAUUAUUUUAAUUUUAGGUGUUUAUGUUUAUUAAUUUAUUUAUAUAUUUUGUUGGGGUGACAGUUAAAUUUUUUUAACUUUAAUUUAGUUUAAUUCAUUAAUGUAUGAUUUUUUUGAUCCAGUAUUUAUUGAUUAUAAGAUUAAGUUACCUUAGGGAUAACAGCGUAAUUUUUUUGGAGAGUUCUUAUUAAUAAAAAAGUUUGCGACCUCCAUGUCGGAUUAAA
rnacentral:rRNA from 1 species